CGGCGGACGGGUGAGUAACACGUGGAUAACCUACCUAUAAGACUGGGAUAACUUCGGGAAACCGGAGCUAAUACCGGAUAAUAUAUUGAACCGCAUGGUUCAAUAGUGAAAGACGGUUUUGCUGUCACUUAUAGAUGGAUCCGCGCCGCAUUAGCUAGUUGGUAAGGUAACGGCUUACCAAGGCAACGAUGCGUAGCCGACUUGAGAGGGUGAUCGGCCACGCUGGAACUGAGACACGGUCCAG
rnacentral:rRNA from 1 species